rnacentral:rRNA from 1 species
UACGUAGGUGGCAAGCGUUGUCCGGAAUUACUGGGCGUAAAGGGCGCGUAGGCGGCCUUCUAAGUCGAACGUGAAAUCCCCGGGCUCAACCCGGGAACUGCGUCCGAUACUGGAAGGCUUGAAUCCGGGAGAGGGAUGUGGAAUUCCAGGUGUAGCGGUGAAAUGCGUAGAUAUCAGGAGGAACACCGGUGGCGAAGGCGACAGCUCUGGGCCGGUACUGACGCUGAGGAAGCGAAAGGCGUGGGGAGCAAACAAGG